CGGGCGUAGCAAUACGUCAGCGGCAGACGGGUGAGUAACGCGUGGGAACGUACCUUUUGGUUCGGGAUAACCCAGGGAAACUUGGACUAAUACCGGAUAAGCCCUUACGGGGAAAGAUUUAUCGCCGAAAGAUCGGCCCGCGUCUGAUUAGCUAGUUGGUGAGGUAACGGCUCACCAAGGCGACGAUCAGUAGCUGGUCUGAGAGGAUGAUCAGCCACAUUGGGACUGAGACACGGCCCAA
rnacentral:rRNA from 1 species